rnacentral:rRNA from 1 species
UACGUAGGGGGCAAGCGUUGUCCGGAAUCAUUGGGCGUAAAGCGCGCGCAGGCGGUCUUUUAAGUCUGAUGUGAAAGCCCACGGCUCAACCGUGGAAGGUCAUUGGAAACUGGAAGACUUGAGUGCAGAAGAGAAGAGCGGAAUUCCACGUGUAGCGGUGAAAUUCGUAGAUAUCGGGAGGAACACCAGUGGCGAAGGCGGCGAUCUGGGAAGAUACUGACGCUGAGGUGCGAAAGCGUGGGGAGCAAACAGG